CAAUUGAAGGGUUUGAUUCUGGCUCAGAAUGAACGUUGGCGGCAUGGAUUAGGCAUGCAAGUCGAGCGAGAAGGGUUCUGAAGCUUGCUUUAGAACCCGGACAGCGGCGAAAGGGAGAGUAACGCGUAGUUAUGUGCCCUAGGGUCCGGAAUAGCCACGGGAAACUGUGGGUAAUGCC
rnacentral:rRNA from 1 species